rnacentral:rRNA from 1 species
GACGAACGCUGGCGGCGUGCUUAACACAUGCAAGUCGAACGGAAAGGCCCUGCUUUUGUGGGGUGCUCGAGUGGCGAACGGGUGAGUAACACGUGAGUAACCUGCCCUUGACUUUGGGAUAACUUCAGGAAACUGGGGCUAAUACCGGAUAGGAGCUCCUGCUGCAUGGUGGGGGUUGGAAAGUUUCGGCGGUUGGGGAUGGACUCGCGGCUUAUCAGCUUGUUGGUGGGGUAGUGGCCUACCAAGGCUUUGACGGGUAGCCGGCCUGAGAGGGUGACCGGCCACAUUGGGACUGAGAUACGGCCCAGACUCCUACGGGAGGCAGCAGUGGGGAAUAUUGCACAAUGGGCGGAAGCCUGAUGCAGCAACGCCGCGUGCGGGAUGACGGCCUUCGGGUUGUAAACCGCUUUCGCCUGUGACGAAGCGUGAGUGACGGUAAUGGGUAAAGAAGCACCGGCUAACUACGUGCCAGCAGCCGCGGUGAUACGUAGGGUGCGAGCGUUGUCCGGAUUUAUUGGGCGUAAAGGGCUCGUAGGUGGUUGAUCGCGUCGGAAGUGUAAUCUUGGGGCUUAACCCUGAGCGUGCUUUCGAUACGGGUUGACUUGAGGAAGGUAGGGGAGAAUGGAAUUCCUGGUGGGGCGGUGGAAUGCGCAGAUAUCAGGAGGAACACCAGUGGCGAAGGCGGUUCUCUGGGCCUUUCCUGACGCUGAGGAGCGAAAGCGUGGGGAGCGAACAGGCUUAGAUACCCUGGUAGUCCACGCUGUAAACGGUGGGUACUAGGUGUGGGGUCCAUUCCACGGGUUCCGUGCCGUAGCUAACGCUUUAAGUACCCCGCCUGGGGAGUACGACCGCAAGGCUAAAACUCAAAGGAAUUGACGGGGCCCCGCACAAGCGGCGGAGCAUGCGGAUUAAUUCGAUGCAACGCGUAGAACCUUACCUGGGUUUGACAUGGAUCGGGAGUGCUCAGAGAUGGGUGUGCCUCUUUUGGGGUCGGUUCACAGGUGGUGCAUGGCUGUCGUCAGCUCGUGUCGUGAGAUGUUGGGUUAAGUCCCGCAACGAGCGCAACCCUUGUUCACUGUUGCCAGCACGUUAUGGUGGGGACUCAGUGGAGACCGCCGGGGUCAACUCGGAGGAAGGUGGGGAUGACGUCAAGUCAUCAUGCCCCUUAUGUCCAGGGCUUCACGCAUGCUACAAUGGCUGGUACAGAGAGUGGCGAGCCUGUGAGGGUGAGCGAAUCUCGGAAAGCCGGUCUCAGUUCGGAUUGGGGUCUGCAACUCAACCUCAUGAAGUCGGAGUCGCUAGUAAUCGCAGAUCAGCAACGCUGCGGUGAAUACGUUCCCGGG